AGUGAACGCUGGCGGUAGGCCUAACACAUGCCAGUCGAACGGCAGCACAGUAAGAGCUUGCUCUUACGGGUGGCGAGUGGCGGACGGGUGAGGAAUACAUCGGAAUCUACUUUUUCGUGGGGGAGAACGUAGGGAAACUUACGCUAAUACCGCAUACGACCUACGGGUGAAAGCAGGGGAUCUUCGGACCUUGCGCGAUUGAAUGAGCCGAUGUCGGAUUAGCUAGUUGGCGGGGUAAAGGCCCACCAAGGCGACGAUCCGUAGCUGGUCUGAGAGGAUGAUCAGCCACACUGGAACUGAGACACGGUCCAGACUCCUACGGGAGGCAGCAGUGGGGAAUAUUGGACAAUGGGCGCAAGCCUGAUCCAGCCAUACCGCGUGGGUGAAGAAGGCCUUCGGGUUGUAAAGCCCUUUUGUUGGGAAAGAAAAGCAGCAGGUUAAUACCCCGCUGUUCUGACGGUACCCAAAGAAUAAGCACCGGCUAACUUCGUG
rnacentral:rRNA from 1 species